UGUUAACAAUUUUAUUUAUUUGUAUUAUUAAAAACUAACUGUAAUAAUUAAAUAAUAACACGCGAUGUGUCACAUGAACCUCAUGCUGACAUAUAGAGAUUAGUUUUUAACGAUAAAAAUAGAUAGAACUUUUAAUA
rfam:Gossypium raimondii Chr09_contig_1812, whole genome shotgun sequence.